UUGAAUAAUCUCUACGGUCAACUCGAUGAACAAAGCAUGCCAGUGCUUCGAGGCGCAUGGGAUUCCUGGUCUUUAAUACAAGGAUACUUGUAUAACAAGAUCACUUGAAAACAGUGAUGUUCAAAGGAAGGCGGAGCCGCCAACGGAAACAUGUGUCGCAGAACUGUCUGCAUUGAAAAGUUUGGAUCUUCCGGGUGCAAUAAUAGACGCUCGUUGUGCGAGAAUAAUCCUAGGGAAUGCUGGUUUGGCAUCUGGUACGACUUAGGAAUUGCCACUAAUGCACUUUGCCUUGAAUCGGAGAAAUCCGAGUAUAACGGAACAAUCCAGAAAGAGUAGCCGAAUGGCAGCAUACAACCAUUAUCUGUCUUUUUUGCAAUCUGAAUGGACGGUGAAUUUGCAGGUAACCAAUCCUGUACAGGUUAUGGCGUAAGCCGGGGCAAGAAGCUUAUGGUCGACGGACUGUAAGCUCAGACUUGUCUCCCUGUUGACCGAAUAUCAAUGGAGGACAACAAUGUACGACGAAGGUCGGAUCGUAGAGAUUUUU
rnacentral:sRNA from 1 species